rnacentral:lncRNA from 1 species
CCUGCUUCCUCUUUUGCUUGGCUCUCUUUCUCUCUCUCGCCUGCUGUGAUGUAAGACAUACCUUUCACCUUCUGCCAUGAUUGUGAAGCUUCCUCAGCCAUAUGGAACUGGAACCUGAUGGAAUAAACUGCUGUGAGAGGGAGUAUUGAAAGAGCCAUUUCCUCAUCAUAAAGAUGCAGUAGCCAUAAUUAUUCCAAUCAUCCAAAAGAGAAGACUUUAAAGUACAGUAGUUAGCCAUCAAAAAGAGAAGGCUAAUAUCCAGUUAUGAGAGCAUUUUCCCAAGCUUAGGCCUAGGAUGUUUUAAAUAUUAAGCCCUGAUUCUCCUCAUUUCUCUAUAGUGAAUUUUGACCAGACUGAGACAUACUACAAAGGACAGUUGCCAGAAACAACACCCAAAGAUACUUCUCCCCUGGACCUUGUUCCCAGGCUCCGUGUGAAGCUGAACACUCCGCAUGAUCUCCCUGCCACCAUAGCAAGCUAUGAAGUUCAUUACACAUGCAGGUAGCAGACAAUACAGCUCUGCUUCCAUUUCUGAGCACCUACGGUAGACUGCCAUUAUUCAGUGUGCCAGCCUGUUUCCAAGCCUACAAUGUAUAGUUCCUCUAGUACGUAAACUCAUUUUUUUUCUCAGAGAGCCAAGUAGAGACACAGGCAGUUUUCUUCUCAAAAUGUGCCAGAAAUUCCAAAACAAUCUCAAAGCAUUAAAGGCUAUGUGCACAAAGUACAUGCAGUUGUAGAGUCCCUCUUUUGCAGAAACUUGCACCUCAGCCCACCAGCAUUUCCUUGGUGCUUCUCCUCCUGACCCUCAUCCUCAUGCACAGACCAUUGGAUAUUACUGCACUCACGUACUUGUGUACUUCUUUCUAACAGCUGACUGAAAUCUUUCCUACAUUUUCAGGGUGAUGGGCAGAAAGUUUUUCUCAGGAAACAUUGUAGGGAAGCUGGCAGGGGACAGUUAUAUAUAUGGGGAGGGUCACAUUCUAUUAUUCAUGGGUUUCCGUGGUCACAGGGAGUCAGGGCCAGUUGGAAAUGGAAAGGAAAAAGUUCAUGUUAACACAGCUGAGGGCAAGGCUAUGCCGUAAAGACCUGAGAUGCUCCAGGAAAAGGUUCAGGAUGCUUCCUUUUUGUCUUUCGAUGAAACCAAAAUCUACCAUUUCUGUUUGAGAGUUUUGGGAAAGAGAUGGCAGGUGAGGAGGUUAGGGCAUAGAUGUGUGAAUACUGCCACUAUGAACCCCAAAGCACAUUUGCCAUGAUUGGUCUAAAAAUAAGAUAAUAAUCCAAAUGUAGCUAAAUAUAGUCUACUAUCUAGUUUCUCUCUUUUACGGUCUUUGGCUACCAGUGAUCCUUUUUGCCUAUGCCUUGGGGGACUUGGGAAGGACAAAGAAGAGAAAAGAAUCAGUGUAACAUUUAAACAACAGUGCAACCGUGCUGUGAGAGCCAUCUCAACCUGAUGUCCUAAGUAGCCAGUGUUUCCUUCGCAACACAACAAUGGUAAACAAAGAUGUUUUCUGGAUGGCUGAAGCAAAUGUGAUUUUUAUGCUCAGA